rnacentral:rRNA from 1 species
UUGGAAACCAAGGCAUCUGCCUUGGAUUGUGGCCUUUAGACAUUGUACCAACGGCGGCGCGAGUGUAAGCCUCUUGGAAUAGAGCGUCUACCUGGGUGAGAAUCCUGUGUUUCGCUUGAUGUCCGCCGUGCACGGUACUUGCUCACAGAGUCACGCUCCUCGGAAUUGGAGCGUAAAUUGGGUGGUAAAUUUCAUCUAAAGCUAAAUACAGGCUCGAGACCGAUAGCAAACAAGUACCAUGAGGGAAAGAUGAAAAGGACUUUGAAAAGAGAGUUAAAAGUGUUUGAAAUCGCUGAACUGGAAGCGAAUGGAACUAGUGCUCUGGCUUGAGAUUGCUGUAAGUGGCAGCCAAAUUUGGGUGUCUGAACGCAAGUCUCUCACCUGGCUGUAAGCUGUUGCUUGCAAUGUGUCUCAGCUUGAAUGUCAAUGUCUAUGCGCGCAUGAGGAUGGCCUCUGGCUCAUGCUAUCUUGCUGCGGUGAGAUU